CACGUAGGGGACGAGCGUUGUCCGGAUUCAUUGGGCGUAAAGAGCACGCAGGCGGUUUGGCAAGUCGGAUGUGAAAGCCCGGAGCUCAACUCCGGACCUGCAUCCGAAACUGCCCGACUAGAGGUAAGUAGGGGAGAUCGGAAUUCCUGGUGUAGCGGUGAAAUGCGCAGAUAUCAGGAGGAACACCGGUGGCGAAGGCGGAUCUCUGGGCCUUACCUGACGCUCAGGUGCGAAAGCUAGGGGAGCGAACAGG
rnacentral:rRNA from 1 species